rnacentral:rRNA from 1 species
UACGAAGGGGGCUAGCGUUGCUCGGAAUCACUGGGCGUAAAGCGCACGUAGGCGGACUAUUAAGUCAGGGGUGAAAUCCCGGGGCUCAACCCCGGAACUGCCUUUGAUACUGGUAGUCUCGAGUCCGGAAGAGGUGAGUGGAAUUCCGAGUGUAGAGGUGAAAUUCGUAGAUAUUCGGAGGAACACCAGUGGCGAAGGCGGCUCACUGGUCCGGUACUGACGCUGAGGCGCGAAAGCCAGGGGAGCAAACGGG